rnacentral:piRNA from 1 species
GUUCGCAUAAAGGACAGCCACAGAGUGAC